rnacentral:rRNA from 1 species
UACGUAGGGGGCAAGCGUUGUCCGGAUUUAUUGGGCGUAAAGAGCGUGUAGGCGGCUUUACAGGUCCGUUGUGAAAACUCGAGGCUCAACCUCGAGACGCCGGUGGAAACCGUAAAGCUAGAGUCCGGAAGAGGAGAGUGGAAUUCCUGGUGUAGCGGUGAAAUGCGUAGAGAUCAGCAGGAACACCAGUGGCGAAGGCGACUACCUGGCCUGUAACUGACGCUGAGACGCGAAAGCGUGGGGAGCAAACCGG